CCACCAGGACGUUUUUCUCCAUCUUCGUCGUGACAACCUGUUCCUGGAAGGGACGCCCUGAAGAUUGUGGCCUCAGAAUUUCUCACGCUCAGUUACACUCAGCCUCCGAUAAUUGUCCAAAUUACCAUUAAGUCUUUCUACCAGUGUAUGAGUCCAAUGGCCCUGGAACAACACUAUGCUCACACUCUGCUUUGUCCUCCGUGGAGAACACAGUAAAUUAUCUGAAACUGAAAGCUCACAUUACUCCCAUAAAGUGUAAUAAACAAGUCAGGGAAAACCCCUGGAGCAGGUUACCUGAAUGAACUGGAUGACCUGUAGACCAUUUGAAUUGAUAAGUAAUUUUGUC